GACGAAGGGGGCUAGCGUUGUUCGGAAUUACUGGGCGUAAAGCGAGUGUAGGCGGUUGUCCAAGUUGGAUGUGAAAGCCUUGAGCUUAACUCAAGAAAUGCAUUCAGGACUGGAUGGCUAGAGGACCGGAGAGGAUAGUGGAAUUCCCAGUGUAGUGGUGAAAUACGUAGAGAUUGGGAAGAACACCAGUGGCGAAGGCGGCUAUCUGGACGGUUACUGACGCUAAGGCACGAAGGCCAGGGGAGCAAACGGG
rnacentral:rRNA from 1 species